AACGAACGCUGGCGGCGUGCUUAACACAUGCAAGUCGAACGGAAUGGUCCUGCUUUUGUGGGGUGCUCGAGUGGCGACCGGGUGAGUAACACGUGAGUAACCUGUCCUUGACUGUGGGAUAACUUCAUGCAACUGGGGCUAUUACCGGGUAGGAGCUCCUGCUGCUUGGUGGGGGUUGGUAAGUUUCGGCGGUUGGGGAUGUACUCGCGGCUUAUCAGCUUGUUGGUGGGGUGGUGUCUUACAAAGGCUUUGACGGGUAGCCGGCCUGAGAGGGUCACCGGCCCCACUAGGACUGAGAUACGGCCCGGACUCCAACGGGAGGCAACGGUGGGGAAGGGUACACAGUGGGCUGAGGCAUGGUGUAGCACAGCCACGUGGGGGAUGACAUCAUUCGGGUUGGAAUCCAAUUUCGCCUGUGACGAAGCGUGAAUGACGGUAAUGGGUGAAGAAGCACCGGCUAACUACGUG
rnacentral:rRNA from 1 species